GUGCUGCUGUGUCAUAUUGCUGUGGUGCAGCAGGCGCUGAGCCGCAGCAGCGCCGCCCUCCAGACGCUGUCCCGGGCCAUCGCCCUGGAGCCCAACAACGCCAUGUGCCGCUACCACCGCGCCUGCGUGUACCUGGAUCUGGGCCAGCCCAGCUCUGCCCUGCUGGACCUCAAGGUGCUGCAGCCU